CAGUUCGGAUUGUAGUCUGNAACCCGACUACAUGAAGCUGGAAUCGCUAGUAAUCGCGGAUCAGAAUGCCGCGGUGAAUACGUUCCCGGGUCUUGUACACACCGCCCGUCACACCAUGGGAGUCGGAAAUGCCCGAAGUCUGUGACCCAACCUACGGGAGGGAGCAGCCGAAGGCAGGUCGGAUGACUGGGGUGAAGUCGUAACAAGGUAUC
rnacentral:rRNA from 1 species